rnacentral:tRNA from 1 species
GAGGGGAUAGCUCAGUAGGGUAGAGCGCAUGCCUAGCAUGCACGAAGUCCUGGGUUCAAUCCCCAGUACCUCCU